UUGACCCACUUAAACGUUUUAAAAUCAGCGUUUUAUAUCAGAGAAAUGUAAUGGCUGAUUGCAUUAAUUUUGACAUUGUUCAGAUUUAUUUCAGACCUUAUUUUCAAGAAAUUGUAUCUAAUAUAUCUCGUGUCACGGUGUUUGCAGCCAAACUUCCCCGAAAUGGCUGUGCCGAGUUUGAUGAAAAUUGGUGUGCUUAUCUGAUUUAUUUCAGACCUUAUUUUCAAGAAAUUGUAUCUAAUAUAUCUCGUGUCACGGUGUUUGCAGCCAAACUUCACCGAAAUGGCUGUGCCGAGUUUGAUGAAAAUUGGUGUGCUUAUCUGGUGGGUAUGAGAAUCGGCCAAAAUCUAUUUUUUUACCUCUAUUAUUAUCAUAAUUUUAUUUUUUGGACAAAAUUUUUUGGUUUUAUUUCUACAUGAUUCAAAUCGAAAAAUAUAUGCGAAAUUUUCGUCCUUAUACGAUCAACUCCAGAGUUGAUUCAAGUAGUGGUACAUUUUUCAAUAGCCAUUUUUUGACAGAACAUGCGUGAGCCGUGUCAAGGUGUCAUGUUAUUUGUUAUUUUUGUUCAGUAUUGUUUGACAUUUCUGUAAAGAUUGUGUGUUCGCGCGCUUAGCGUACUAUUCGCAACACCAUCACCCAUCUUGAGACCCAGCAUUCAUUAUUGGACUACGUCUAGUACGAAGUGAAGAAAAUGAAGCGGCCUUAGCUGAGAGUGUACACGAAGACCGUUGGGAGUCGAUUCGGCGCCGUUCGCAGCAACUCGGACUGACGUAUGAAACGACAUUUUAAGUCGAGAUCUUAAAUUGAAAGCGUACAAAAUACAGCUGUUGAAAGAACUGAAGUCGCUCGACCUACCCAAGCGACAACGCUUUAUGGGCUCUUUUCUGGCUCAAUGGGCA